rnacentral:rRNA from 1 species
UACGUAGGUGGCGAGCGUUGUCCUGAUUUACUGGGCGUAAAGGGAGCGUAGGCGGACUUUUAAGUGAGAUGUGAAAUACCCGGGCUCAACUUGGGUGCCGCAUUUCAAACUGGAAGUCUAGAGUGCAGGAGAGGAGAAUGGAAUUCCUAGUGUAGCGGUGAAAUUCGUAGAGAUUAGGAAGAACACCAGUGGCGAAGGCGAUUCUCUGGACUGUAACUGACGCUGAGGCUCGAAAGCGUGGGGAGCAAACAGGAUUAGAUACCCUGGUA